UUUGCUAUGUAUGUACAUGCGUAAAUGUACUUAUACCAUAUAAUUUAUUUGAGUUUGUAGCUUAAAUUGUUUAAAUUGAUAAAAAAAAAUAUUUAAAAUUAGGAGUUACAAAAUUUAUUAGUCGUGCUCAAAGAAGCUACUAUUGCUGUGUCACAGUGACAGUAAAUUCUAAAAAUCUAGUAGAUACAUAUAACAACGAAAUUUAAGAAAAGCGUUAGAAAAGAAUUAAAAACAAGCAAAUUAAUUUUGAUUAUACUUUAAAGUACAUAGAGCAGCAUGUAAGAUGCGAAGAAAGGAAGAGUGGUGCUGCUAAAUAUAAUGAGUUUAAAAUUUAAUACUUACAUUAACUAAAACCAAAAAUGUGCUACAUAUAUAUAUACAACAUAUAUUUGAAAACACAAAUAUGUUUAUUUAGUUAACAUUUGAUGUGAAUAGCAACAGCUAUGCAAUGCAGCCCACUUCCACUGUCUUUUUCUUUCUUUGUUUAGUUAGUUUUGUUAAAUAAUGUUUUUUUUUGUAUUAACUUUGCAAGUUUUAAAUUAUUGUAUUUGUUAUUGUUCUUUAACACCACACAACUGUGUUUACUUACUUCUUACUUACUUACACACACAAUAUAGUACGUCUGAUUUCAUUUUGCUUGACAAACUUACAUAUAUACAUAUUUAUGCUAAUUUUUGUUCGUUUAUUGUACUAAUAUCGUUUACGUAUAGUAGUUUUUCAGUUUUUGGCUUUGGUGCUGGUGUAGAAUUCGUUUUGUUUUAUCAUUUAUAUUUGAACAAACAUGCCCUUAAGUUAUUUACUUAUACAUAUAUAUGCUAUUAUUAUUUAUAUAUUUAUUUUUUCGAAAUCAUUUACAAAAUAUGUACAUUUGCCGUUUAACGAAGUUGUUUAGUCGAGUAUUAGUUUUUUUCGUUAUGAAUACCAGCUUUGAUGCAAGUAGUAUUGCCACAUUUUUCACUUCAUACAUACAUACAUAUGUAUCGAAAUUCAUAUAUUCAUUGAUAUUUAUUAUAUGUUUUAUGUAUCUAUGAUACAUACAUACAUUUAUGUAUAAUUGAAUAUUAGUGAUCAUAUAUAACUGAAUAUUAGUGCAGUCAGUCUGUCCGUCGUACGCGCACAGUAACGAAAAUGUGUUUUUUUUUUGUUUCUGAUUUGUAUACACAUUUUAUAUAUAUACCCUUCAUGCUCACGUCCACUACAUAUACCUGUAAAUCGCUUACAUUCAAAAUGUCAUUCUCAAAAACUCAUUUCAUGGCUUCUCAUAUAUAAUUGUAUAUUUUUUUUGCUGUAUUAACACAAAGCAUUUGAUUAGCUGGUAACUAAGCUGACAUUAUCACCACAUAUUUUUUUGUUUUUAGUAUAUUUUCUUUUGGGUGAAUAUUGAGAUUUUGUUAUUUGAAGUGCAGGCUUCAUUUGUAAGAAUUGAAUUUUUUAUGGCAAUUGCCUUUGUUUCAUAUGUUUUAAUGUACGUAAAUAAGCAGUAACGUGUGUAAAUUGUACCGACACACACUCUCACACACAACACAAGCACACACGUGUUUAUAGCGUUGUGUACGUGCGCAGGCGGAUGCAUGUUAACUCUUCCUGUGCAUAUACACAAGCUUAGCUACGGCGUAAGCCUUGUCAGAGAUACAAAGUGUUAUAUAAUUUUAUUUUAUUUUUUACAUUUUUGUAUUUAAGUUAUAUAAUUUUUAUUUUCGUUGGUUGACGGGACUCAAUUGUUUAGUUUAUUUUCUAUAUAUCGUACAUAAAUAUUAUUUUAAGUGGCAAUUUAAGCAAAGUAUGCGCUAAAAUCUUAGGACACGUGCGUUGAUGGACGCUGUGGUCGUGCUUAGUGCAUGGCACAGUGCUGUCAAAUACUCGUUACUCUUUUCGGCUCGGUACACUCGUGCAUUUGCUCGCGUUUUCUUUUCAACUACGCGACUUUCUGCUUCAAAAAGUCGUGUAAUUUUUUUAAAGUUUUGUUUAACGGUGUUGAAAGUGUAAAAACAAACAAGUGCUACAAAGUGUUGAUAUGUGUGCGUUAGAAAAUUUGAAGUUCUGUUACCUGCACAAUUUGGCUGGCUGUUUUGUUGGACACCUCGUUGCCGUGGCUGCCGUAACGUUUGGCUGAAACAUGUAGCUGUGAGCAUGCGUAAAGCAUGUUACAGCGAGGUACUGUGCGUUUCAUGCCACAUCGUCAUCAACAUCUUCAUCGCCACAUCGUUAACAAACAUUACUAGCAAACAAGCAAGCUGUCGCCAAAUCAGGUGAGUAUUCUUUGUUCAACGGUAUCGGUUGGACAAGGUGCACAUUUCAAUGGAAUAUUAAUGUAUAUUAAAAUUUCAUUAUUAUGCUAAUGCAUCCUGUCACACACUGUCUGUAUUUUGAAACACCAGCAUAUAUACAAUAUAAUUCCUUGUAUGCCAUUUUCAAGUACCUGUAAUCCUUGCUGCUACCUUCCCUACUACAUCAUAUCCCCUCUUUUCAUACAUUCAUACAUACAUACAAACAUACGUACAUAUUACUUCACCGUUCAUUUGAAUGUUGCCAGUUACAGUUUUUGCAACACUUUAUGCAUAUUUUAAGUACAAAAUAAGCGUAACCGUGUAAUUUUAACGGUACAUUUAUAACAUUAAGUUUAUAAGUCAUGAACAAAAUGACGUUUGGGUUGUAAAAUACGAUUUUCUCUUCGAUGAAUUUUAUUUUCGCGUUGUAAACCUCAUUGGAUUGGUUGAUUUAAAGCUUCCCCAACUAUUAUGUUAUUAUAUAAAAUAAUUUACCAAAACAUUUAAGAUUGCAGUACGAAAUAGGUAUUUUUCGCGUGGAAAUUUUUCUCUAAAUCGUCGGAAAUGUAAAAUUUUUAUGAACAGGUUGGUAAAUCUUACGAAAUCCUUAUGCUGUGAGAAGUUAUGACGAUCAUGUAAUGUUAUACACCACCAAUACUCUUUUUCCGGUCAAAUCCGAUAAGCAAAACCCUGUUUUAGUGCCUCAUUUUCGAAAAUGAAAAAAAAAAAUCGAAAGAUUUUGAGUUUUGAUAGCUUGAGGAUUAUCUAUUUUUUUUUUUUUAAUUUUGAAGAGCAGAAAUCGUACCAAACAUAGAAACUAAGAACUAUUAAUUUUUUCGACAAUUUUCGGAACAUCUAAAACUAUUUUUUUCGAAAUUAAUCAAAUUUUAUAGCACAUUUUCAAAAAUUUUGAAGCGCAAAAAUUGUUCCAAAUUGUUGAAAAAAGUACUUCAAUUAAUUUUGGUUUCAUUAUCUUUCUUAAACUAUUUAAUAACUUUUUCAAAAGUUUUGAAACUAAAAUAUUUCUGAAUUGUGAAAUCAUGGCAUAUCUAAUAAUUAAUUUCUAUUUUGAAUAUUCUACCAAAAAUAAUAUAACUCAACUCAUUUUCGAAUUUUCGAAAUUCAUACAAUGAUUCUGAACAUGGAAAGUAUGAGGAACAAUUUUCGUUCCUAUGCAGUUAAUAAAAUAUGAAGGAAUUUUUUUUUAAAUCAGCUUUCGAAUAUUAAAAUGCAUUUAAUCAGCAAUUAAUUUCGAUUUUAAAAAAAGUUUCUUUUGAGAUAUUGAAAUUAACUUUAGACAGAUCAGUUUAUAAACAAAGUUGAUAGACAGCGCUGUAUCGUGUAUAUUAUAACCUCAAAAGCUUUUUUUCUUUAAUACAAACACAGCAAUAUUUUUCUAUAUUUAUUCAACUCUCUUCGACUCGUCGCUGUAGCAAAUUUAAAAAUAGAUUAUUUUUGAAAAUACAGCCUCGUUAUCUUACAUAUACAUGUAGCCCAUAAAUCAAUUGUUGAAAUUACUGCCUUACCAUAAUUUUUGUGAGGGGGGCGGUGGUUGGUCACUAUAUGCGUUCAUUAUAUUUUUGAAAAAUCUUAUUUACGAAUUCUGCGCCGAUACAAAUGCCAAAACUGAAGCUGCAUAUAGAAACGCGAGAGUUGCACAUAAUUGCAACGCUGUCAAAAACUACACGACUGCUGGUCAAAUGUGACUACUGCGCGACACGACGCCGGUGUUAUGACGAAGUAUCGUCAUGUACUCAACAUAAUAUAAUUGCGUGAGUCAAAUGUUAGACGUACGAAGUCGAGAAGAGCUAAAAGAUCUGUGAAGAGGAAGAGCUUUGCUAAUCAACCGGAAUUAGGCACCUCCAUUAGAGCGCAGAGAGCUGUUUCUGCUGCUGCCGCCGCC
rnacentral:misc_RNA from 1 species